AAUGAACGUUUGCGGCGUGGAUUAGGCAUGCAAGUCGAGCGAGAACCGUAGCAAUACGGGGACAGCGGCGUAAGGGAGAGGAACACGUAGGUACCUACCCCCGGAUCUGGGAUAGCCACGGGAAACUGUGGGUAAUACCAGAUGACGUCUCCGGACCAAAGGUGUGAUUCCGUCCGGGGAGGGGCCUGCGUCCUAUUAGCUUGUUGGUGGGGUAACGGCCUACCAGGGCAAUGAUGGGUACGGGGUGUGAGAGCAUGCCCCCGCUCCAUGGGACUGAGACACUGCCCAGACACCUACGGGUGGCUGCAGUCGAGGAUCUUCGGCAAUGGGCGCAAGCCUGACCGAGCGACGCCGCGUGCGGGAUGAAGGCCUUCGGGUUGUAAACCGCUGUUGUAGGGGAGGAAAUGCUGUGGGGUUCUCCCCACAGUUUGACCUAUCCUAUGAGGAAGUCCGGGCUAAGUUCGUGCCAGCCGCCGCCGUAAGAC
rnacentral:rRNA from 1 species